GAAAAAAAUGGUACUGGCCUUUUAAAUUCGUUGAAAGUCACCUCAGCUGGAGGGGGAAGGGCUUGCACAAUGAAGAGAGGUGAAAUAGCAAUGGUCACCUGCCCCUUUGUCUGCACAUCUAUGAUCAGAAGUAGCUAUCAGUAAUCUGAACACAGAUUUCCAGUAUUUGGGGAACAAGGCUUUUUUUGUCCAUCCUGGCUCCAGCAAGCUGUGUGUAAGCUGCUCCAGGAACAUGUGCACAGCUCUCAGCUAUGGUUAAGCCAGACACAUUUUGCCAGCAUAAUUGUUGUCUAGGUGGGGAGACAAAUUUCUGGUGCUCCCUACUCUGCCAUUUUUCAAGAAUCCUCCCCUUUCAGUAACUUUUUUUGCUUUCUUUUUCUUCACAGCACUUACUCUCUGUCAUAGAAGUUUGUUUUUAUUUUUAUGUGGUUUAUCUUCCCAAUACAAUGUGAGCUUCGUGUUUUUGGAGACUUUGAUGUCCUAGUCAUUGCUGUAUCCCUAGCCUGGAACAGUGCACAGCACAUUCUAGUCUCUGUACACAUGGGCAAAACUUUCUCUAGAAGUGGAAUUGCCUGGCCAUAAGGUAUCUGUCAUGCAGACUGGAAUGCAGUGGUGCGAUCAUGGCUCCCUAUAAGCUUGAACUCUUGGGCUCAAGUGAUACUGCCACCUUGGUCUCCUGAGUAGCUGGGACUACGAGUGUGUACCACCACUCCUGGGUAAUUAAAAACAUUUCUUUGUAGCAAUGAAGUACGGUUACAUUGCCCAGGCUUGUCUUGAACUCCUUGCCUCAAAUGAUUCUCCUGUUUCAGCCUCCCAAAGCGCUGGGAUUACAGGCCAGUGUGUCUGGGCCUCUUACUUUUAUUUUCUCAUGCUUUACACUUCUUUGGGCUUGCUUUGUUGUUCUCUUCUGAAGCCUUUCAGUUGGACACCUUCUCCAUUCAUUUUUGGAAUUAUUAUUUUUACGGUAAACAUUUAAAGGGCAUCCCAAAGGGAGAAAUGACCCCAAAUGUCAGGUUCACCUCUCUGGGAUUUCCUUUCUCCUGAAACUUGGCUGUAUCAUUCUUCAGUGCCUUUUUAGGCUCUCCAAAACGUUCAAGUAGAUUUUUUAAAAUUGAGAUAUAUGAUCGAAGUCAUUAUUGCAUAUAUUGCUGAGGCAAUUACUGAAGCGUCAUCCACAUACAGUGUAUAUAUAUGAAUUGUACAAUUUGAUAAG